rnacentral:rRNA from 1 species
GGUAUAGAUCUUUCGGGAUCUAGAGAGCGGCGUACGGGUGCGGAACACGUGUGCAACCUGCCUUUAUCUGGGGGAUAGCCUUUCGAAAGGGAGAUUAAUACCCCAUAAUAUAUCAGAUGGCAUCAUUUUAUAUUGAAAACUCCGGUGGAUAGAGAUGGGCACGCGCAAGAUUAGAUAGUUGGUGAGGUAACGGCUCACCAAGUCUACGAUCUUUAGGGGGCCUGAGAGGGUGAUCCCCCACACUGGUACUGAGACACGGACCAGACUCCUACGGGAGGCAGCAGUGAGGAAUAUUGGACAAUGGGUGAGAGCCUGAUCCAGCCAUCCCGCGUGAAGGACGACGGCCCUAUGGGUUGUAAACUUCUUUUGUAUAGGGAUAAACCUAGAUACGUGUAUCUA